CGCGUAGGCGGACAGUAUAGUCAGGCGUGAAAUUCCUGGGCUCAACCUGGGGGCUGCGCUUGAUACGUGCUGUCUUGAGUGGGGAAGAGGGUCGUGGAAUUCCCAGUGUAGAGGUGAAAUUCGUAGAUAUUGGGAAGAACACCGGUGGCGAAGGCGGCGACCUGGUCCUUGACUGACGCUGAGGCGCGAAAGCGUGGGGAGCAAACAGGAUUAGAUACCCUGGUAAUCCACGCCGUAAACGAUGUGCGCUGGAUGUUGGGCGGCCUAGCCGUUCAGUGUCGCAGCUAACGCGUUAAGCGCACCGCCUGGGGAGUACGGCCGCAAGGUUGAA
rnacentral:rRNA from 1 species